rnacentral:rRNA from 1 species
CGGAUUGUAGGCUGAAACUACGCCUACAUGAAGCUGGAGUUGCUAGUAAUCGCGAAUCAGCAUGUCGCGGUGAAUACGUUCCCGGGCCUUGUACACACCGCCCGUCACACCAUGAGAGUUGGCAAUACCCAACGUACGUGAUCUAACCCGCAAGGGAGGAAGCGUCCUAAGGUAGGGUCAGCGAUUGGGGUGAAGUCGUAACAAGGUAAC